UACGGGGGGGGCAAGCGUUGUUCGGAAUUACUGGGCGUAAAGGGCUCGUAGGCGGCCAACUAAGUCAGACGUGAAAUCCCUCGGCUUAACCGGGGAACUGCGUCUGAUACUGGAUGGCUUGAGAUUGGGAGAGGGAUGCGGAAUUCCAGGUGUAGCGGUGAAAUGCGUAGAUAUCUGGAGGAACACCGGUGGCGAAGGCGGCGUUCUGGACUGCAACUGACACUGAGGAACGAAAGCCAGGGGAGCAAACGGG
rnacentral:rRNA from 1 species